CGUAUCACCCAAGACAACUUUGCGGAGUUGACGAUUGACGGAGCGAAGCGACGUCAAAGCGUUCAUUAAAGUCGAGUUGGCUUAGGGAUACGUUCGUUGGGUAGGGGAGCGUUCUGUAAGCCUGUGAAGGUGGCCUGUGAGGGUUGCUGGAGGUAUCAGAAGUGCGAAUGCUGACAUAAGUAACGAUAAAGCGGGUGAAAAGCCCGCUCGCCGGAAGACCAAGGGUUCCUGUCCAACGUUAAUCGGGGCAGGGUGAGUCGACCCCUAAGGCGAGGCCGAAAGGCGUAGUCGAUGGGAAACGGGUUAAUAUUCCCGUACUUGGUGUUACUGCGAAGGGGGGACGGAGAAGGCUAUGUUGGCCGGGCGACGGUUGUCCCGGUUUAAGCGUGUAGGUGUGUGUUCCAGGUAAAUCCGGUU
rnacentral:rRNA from 1 species